UACGGAGGAUCCGAGCGUUAUCCGGAUUUAUUGGGUUUAAAGGGUGCGUAGGUGGCCUGUUAAGUCAGGGGUGAAAGACGGUGGCUCAACCAUCGCAGUGCCCUUGAUACUGAUGAGCUUGAAUAAACUUGAGGUAGGCGGAAUGUGACAAGUAGCGGUGAAAUGCAUAGAUAUGUCACAGAACACCAAUUGCGAAGGCAGCUUACUAAGGUUUAAUUGACGCUGAGGCACGAAAGCGUGGGGAUCAAACAGG
rnacentral:rRNA from 1 species